GGGGGGGGGGGGCACGUGCGAAACACUAGACGCGCCAUUUUCUGUCGUGCAGAUUACUGACUCGAAGUAGCGAUUCUUCGUUGAAAAUGGCCGAAAGAAUACAAGAAACUCACGAUGACGCUUACUCGAGUGUGCUUCGUAAAGAUAGGGUCGCUCGCAGCUACGAUGUAUGUAUAUACAUAAAAAGCCAUAUAUCCAUGAUCGAUAGGUACUAUAUUUAUGCAAAUCAAUCAAGUUUCAGCGACUCACGUGCACGAAGACGCCGGUAAUGCUUGUCGCGUCGUGUAAAAAUUUAAUGGAGUCACUGCGUCGUUCUGAUAAGAUCGACUUGACUUCGCAGUGAGUCAUGAAGUCGAUCGCGGCGGAAAAUUCACGAUUAAAUCGUUUGCCACGCUCGGUGGAAAUCAGUGCUCGGUCCGUGACAUUGCGUAACACCUGAGUAGGCAGGUACCUACGUACGUAUAGGUACGUUUGGGAUAAUCAUCCAGUUGCGAAAUUCGGAGCACACCGGGUGCGCCAGUACAUGUGCUUAGUCAAAAAGAAAAUUAAUCACGCGCUGUAUAUCGUUCCUAGCUUAAGGCGACUCGAUGAUAACUUCACAGAAAUUCACUCGAUAUUCAUAUAGGACGUCCAAGGUAUAGAAGGUGGAAUAAACUCGUGAAGGCUUUUGAACCGAGUAUAUAGUGAAUGUGAGCUAAUAUUGCACAUAUGGCGCUCGACAUCUUAGCAUGGCUUGACAUGGGCUGUGUCAACACAGACUGUAAUAAAAUUUCUCUCGCGAGCGUCACGUACGUGUCUUUCCAGUGCAUUAUUGUCAGAGUCCCCGAUGUCAGCCAUCUUAUUAUUCCGAUGAUCCGUGAAAUUGUAUUCAACGUUAUUCCGAGUUCAUGGACUUUGGAAGGGAAAGCCAAUAAGAUAUCAGCCAUACCUGCCCAUCUAUAUAUAUCGUGUCCACUAUAGAAGCUGUAGCGACGACUCGAUGAAGGUUCUUUGAAUACCCUCGUAGACGAUAUACGAGAGCACGCAGGAAUCCCUAUACGCUUUAUCAUCACGAUCCUAUAGUUAAUUACAUAGAUCUCAACGACCUCUUUACGUUGAGAGAUGCUCAGAGGAAAAAGACGUUGAUGACGUUCGAAACGAAAAAAAAAAAAAAAAAGUUAACGGCCUCCUCCCAACGUCCACUUCGAUUCUGAAGUUCUAUCGACGCCUCCCUCGCGGUUAUAGCAACUGGCUUUAUAGCUGGCAUUAGUGCCGCCGCUGUAUUAAUUCGCAAGCACGAGCAACGCCUGGGCGGAUAGACGGGAGGAAUGGCGGAUGGGCAAACAGAGGUAAGGAAAAAGAGAAAAGGAACGAGGAAAAAAAAAGGUCGCGAUAAGCAGCAAGCACCAGGCCCCCACUACCAGGUACCUGGACACGUCACUUCAGGUAUCAGGAACAACAAGGCUUGAGCAUUCAAGUAUUCGCGCAUUGUUCUUGCGCAAAUAUUACCCGACUAUAUGGACAAUUCCAAGGCGGCCACCUGCGUCCAACAAUGCAUUUAUUGUCGUCAGGUACAUAGUAGCUAGGUAAGGACGAGAUGGGCUUUUGUGGUCGCCGGGAGAAAUUGUACUGUAAAUUUAAAAAUAACCAGCAGAUAUAAUACGAGUUUCGAAAUAUUAUAUGUCGCUAUGUCGUCGUACUCGGAGCGGCCUGGUGGAACUAUUUUUUUUUUUUUCAAUUAUCAAACACUCCGGAAACUCGUAUACGAAUUCGAGUGCAAGCUCGGGGACCUGACAUUCCUCAUGACUAACCGUUAAUGCAAUAUCUGUAUCAUAUACGUAUAUACGCAACGUCACAGUAACCAGGGUGCAUUAGUAAGUCAACGCGAAGCGACACGAAGCUUUAUUUCCGGGUAAGAUUAAACGUAUAGGUACGCAUUAUACUUUGCUGCAUGAAUUCCUGUCAAUGGGAUCACAAGAAACCGUGCGUCGUACGUGGAAGACCCGUCGUCAGUCCCCCUCGUCACUUCCGGCACGUUUCACAAGUACAUUUGUCGCAGUGUGUAUCGCCGUUAAGCCGUCAAGAAAGUGAAAAUAUAUUACAAGUUCGAAGAAGAUCUUCGGUCACUGAAGCGAAAUUCACCAGCCAACGUUACCUACAUCUUCUCAAUGGCAUCAUAUUUGCAAAUUGCGAAACUCUACUGUGUAUUAUCGGUACAUCCAUAUACACAUACCAGGUUGACUUAAACCGAUCUAAUACCCUGCCGGGGCAUAUAAUAUGCGUGUACAUACGUAAUAAUGUCGCACGAUGCGAAUGACGUAACUGUGCCCGCGUUGCAUGCGGGCACCACAAUGGCGGUUCAGGGUUCAGCGAAUAAUCACAAUAAAUAUUAAAUCUGCGGUCGGGGGGUACGCGUAACUUUUGACUUUAAUGCUCUAGGUCGGUGCGGAUAUAGCCGGAUGACCGAUUGUGAGCCACUGGGAGUAAUAACGAUUUACAAUGACAAUGCUUAAGCUGCAAAGUGAAGGGAGAUAAAAAAAGGUAAAUUUCUAUGAAACUCCAGAGCGUUCGAACGGCGUAACAGUAAUCGCAACUGCUUCCUAGGGUCCCAGUGGAUUACGUAUAAAACACGUAACACCGAAGACGUACCCGAACACGGAGGCUCCUUGAUGUAUCAAAGACUCCUCGUGAGUCACGCAAGAACGGGCACAGUAUGUUUUUCUUUCGUAUUUAUAUACCGAUGUAGGUAUUCCCUAGUGAAUUUUGCUAGUAGAGCUUAACUCGACACUUGGGGCAACGUCCGUUACUCAGCAUAUCUAUAGCUAGGUAUGUAUACGUAGGGUCUGCGCCGAUGAAGCAGCCUGUGCGGUAUGUGACAAUUUCUUUAGUUUUAUUUUCUUCCCUUUCAUACUCGUUUUCCUGGCUUAUUUCGCGUGCGGCUAUACGGCACAGUAUUUAGCCGUACGUUAAAGACAUAGGACCUCGACGCUGUAUCGUGUAUAGUACUUGGAAGUUCGAGUCAGCGGGUUCCAGCAGAUAAGAGUACUGUGUCAACGUGCGUUUCUCUUUGUGAAGAAUAACCAUCUCAGCUUGAGGGUAGACGAAAGGCACGAGGUGAGGUUAGAGAAAAAAAGUCCCUAGAAUUCUUUGAAAGUAUAUAUGAUAUAAAUUGGAGUUCCGAGACGAAUGGGGAAUAUUUGAGAUCCUGGAACAGGCGAGUAGAUACGACAUUCUUUUGUUAACAUGACCCACGAAGGAUUUAGGUAGAGUUGGUCAGUCGUAUGUCUUACGUAUAUGUUCUUUCGAAAUGAGAAGAAAAAAAAAGAAUACAAGGGAUUAUGGAAGUGAGCCUGUUUAGCGUGGCGGAGGACACGGGGCAACUUUUGAAAUGGCGGCAUUGAAUGUCAUUACUUUACAUCCACAAAAGUUCGCCGGAACCAGUUCAACGGUAGCCGUUUGUACGCUUUAGCAAUGUCAGUCACGUAGCUACAAGCAACCUUCGCUAAUGCGUUUUAAAAUGUCCUGAAACGCUUAGAAAGCACGACUCGCGCGUCUCAAACUGCAUUCUUAAAUAAGGCACGGGUGAGCGAGCGAGUGUAUUUUAACCGAUGUCUCAAAUGCGCCAUACGAGGAUGGAAGAAAAAUGAUGGAAAGCGGAUUCCCGACUCCGACAGAUAAAAUCUCAUAAACUCAAGAAAUUGUGUGACUAGUAUGUAAACACAGCAUCCCACAUAAAUACAUAGAGAGAUCGAGGAAUUAUCGAUGGAAAAUAAAAAAAAAGUUCCAAAGAGUUGUGCAACCGUAGAUUAUUUUUAUUUAUUACAAUAAUAAAUGAUAAGGAUUGAUAGAAAGGAUGGCGCGGAACUUAUCGAUCACUCAAAAUCGAUUAGUGUCUGAUACCUCUCUCGAUAUGUUAUAGUCACGGCUGUGAUAAGCAACCGCGUGCAAUGCGAGCCGAUUAAUGAUUUUUAAAAGCGACGAAUUUCUACCUGUGAUCGAAAAGUGGGAACUGAUCAUUAUAAUGGCAAAGUAUAAUUACGGAUGUUUAUGCCUGUUCGCGCUAGAGGAGAAAAGAUUGUGUACACAUGUUACUGGUUGUUCUUGAUCUUUGGUCAACGUGGUCGUAUGGCAAAAAAAUGCUCACUGCCCCCUCGAAUGAAUAGGAAAGUAAAUGGAACGAGGCGACUCAAGGAAAAUAUCAAAUAAUAAGUACUUCUCUAUCGGUCGUGCAAUUCCGCGAGCAAUAUAUUCGCACUGUCGUAAUGAGACGUGCCAAACGUUAAAAUUACGAAAUUUCAUAAAAAAUAGAGUUAAACGAAUAAUUCGUGGAACGGGGCAGUGCCUAGUGAUAAUAUAAAUAAUUACGUAUUCUGAAUAUAUGGGAUCGAGUAAAUUCCAGUUAUUCUUUUACCACGAAUCACAACCAAAAUGGCAAUCGGCUAACGCGUUAUCUGAUACGAAGAUUACAGUUUCACUUUAUAAAUCAUGGCGUCUAUAAUAACACGUACCAGUACAGUACAGUCUCUUGCAAAGACGCUGUACGACGAAGUGAUUCGCCGAAUAAGUAAUCGUAAAGAUAAAUUUGUCAUUGAUCGUUAAAAUUCCGAUGCGCUCAAAAAUGUACUUGUAAUUGAGAAAAGCGUCUCACGUCUUUAAAGAAGAAUGAAAUUCGAAUCGAUCGCCUGUAAAAUUCCUCGAUUCACGGUUGUCCGUACAAUUUCAUUUAAUUGUAAAAUAACUCCCGAUGACUUUGGGCAACGUGUAAUCACGUGUCAUUGGCAUGACGCAACGAUGAAUUAUUACCCUACUCAUUCUGAAGUGCAAGAGCAAAUCCAUUCAGGGAGAAUCCAACGAGCACCUAGACGUAUAGUCCUAUGCGAAAAGCAUCGAAAGCUCUUGAACUUCAGUGCGUAAUAAUUCACGCUUCAAUUGUCCUUCGUGACAUUUAAUUAAUAAUUCGUCAUUAGAAAAAAAAAAAACAUGGCGUCUAUAUCAGUCCUUCGCCAUAGUCAGAUAUACGAUGCAGCGAAGCAUCGACACCCUUGUAUAUCACUAUACAUAUAUGAUACUCACCCUUAUAAAGUGAUAGAUUAAAAAGUAAUAUCAGUAACGGGAGCAAUAAGAAUGAAUAUUUAAAAGAAAUGGCUGCAGCGCCAAGCUGAAGAGCACCCGGGAAUUAGCCGGCAGAUGUGUGGCUUUCUCUCGGAUUAAUUAUGGCGUUUCGGGGACCACGCUGUACACUCUCAGAUAUACAGAAUAUUCAGUAAGAGCGCUUAAAAUAUAUCCUAUACUCCAUUCAAUACUUGAAAGCUACCAGUUACAUCGGAGGUUGCUGAUACCGGUUGUCGUUCCCGUGAAAUUUCGAUAAUGCCAAAUAACGCAUCCCGGGAACACUUACGGAUGACUACAGGUUACGCGCGUUAUUGUACGAAGGAAUAGCAGUGGAAAGGACGUCUCGCUAGUAGGAUAUAUCUAUAUAUUAUACAUAUAUCGAUACUAGCGCAGAGAAUCCAUUAUUCGAAAUCCUUGAAGCGAGUUACAGGUAAACUUAACGGAGGCGACGGGUUGCGCCAGUGAUAGAAAUAGCGUAGUGUGGCUUAAGUCGUAACCGAGGAAUCCGUUGGUUCUUUCACUCUUCAAUACGCCAACGCCACAGUCUUGUCAUUCUUUUUUCUCUCGCUCUACGUCACACCAGUUUCUUUAUCCUCGUUAAGCCGAUAAGCGAAAAAUUCAUCGUGCCCGCUGCAGUCGCUCGCACGCUUACGCGUUAUUGUUUUCGCGAUCGCGCGUUUACCUAUAUACUAUAAAAAGCGGCGACACCGAGCUAUGGUGAUUUUCGUGAAUUUAUGAAUAGACCGCAUUUAUUAUACCUUGACCCGUUAAAUUUUACACGAAGUCUCGGAAGGCGAACGCGUCUUGAAAAACAUACUGCGUCGACUUACGUAACGGAAAAGAGAUACGUCCAGGAGCAAGAUCAGGCACCUGUGCAUAUAUUGAUUGCCGCUCUUGUGAUAUCGACGAUGGGGGUUAGAAGAGUUGGGGAUGGCGAUACUGCUAGAUAAAGGCACUGUUUGCUUUACACUCAGCCACGAUUAUUAGGGAAAACGACAUCUGUUAAAAUAUAUUCUAAUCACACGGUAACUCUCCUUAUCAUGGCGUCACUCAUCCCCACAUAUGCCAAAGAAUUUAUACGAAGGGAUGAUCAAUAGUUACAAAAAGUAAAGAUCAAAGGGUUGCUUGGAAAUAUAUAUAUAUAUACCGGGUGUUUCACCUAACUUGGCCACCUUAAAUAUCUCGGUAAUUAUCGACGUCACAAAAAAAUAUUUCAGACAAAAGUUGUACGGUGCGAAGGGGGUCAUCAAAUGCGACCAAUUUUUUUUUUAUUUCGGUGGCGGCGCUGAUGCACAGUGAAGGUCACCUCCAUUUUUUUAAAUGGUACAGUACAUUUUUUUUCAACCAUCUUGCAGAGCAUCGCAAACUGCAUAAAAAACAUUCAGGGGUCAAAGUCGUUCAAGGUCAUUCAAGAAAUGUUAACUCUGCUGCUUGAAGAUCUAACCUUGUGGGAUCGGCAAAACCUCUGGUAUCAACAUGAUGGUUGUCCAGCUCAUUUUGCACGGAUAGCUCCCAAUGCUGUCGACCGAAAAUUUGGUAAUAAGCAGAUUAGCCGAGGAUCACGAAUAGGCUGACCUGCUAGAUCGCCGGACUUAAAUCCACUCGAUUUUUCUUUAUGGGGGACAUUGAAGAUGACUACCAAAUGAUUGGUAGUGAUCCGAGAUAUUUAGAUUUGUAUCAUCGAUACUGACCUUGAAUGACCUUGAACGACUUU